rnacentral:rRNA from 1 species
CCUACGGGAGGCAGCAGUGAGGAAUAUUGGUCAAUGGACGAGAGUCUGAACCAGCCAAGUAGCGUGAAGGAUGACUGCCCUAUGGGUUGUAAACUUCUUUUAUAAAGGAAUAAAACGAGGCACGUGUGCCUUUUUGCAUGUACUUUAUGAAUAAGGAUCGGCUAACUCCGUGCCAGCAGCCGCGGUAAUACGGAGGAUCCGAGCGUUAUCCGGAUUUAUUGGGUUUAAAGGGAGCGUAGAUGGGUUGUUAAGUCAGUUGUGAAAGUUUGCGGCUCAACCGUAAAAUUGCAAUUGAUACUGGCAGUCGUGAGUACAGUUGAGGUAGGCGGAAUUCGUGGUGUAGCGGUGAAAUGCUUAGAGAUCACGAAGAACCCCGAUUGCGAAGGCAGCUUACUAAACUGUGACUGACAUUGAUGCUCGAAAGUGUGGGUAUCAAACAGGAUUAGAUACCCGAGUAGUC